rnacentral:tRNA from 1 species
GGGGGUAGAUGAGUCCUGGUGGGCUCUCUGGUCUUCAAAACCAGCGUGAGGCGUUAAGAGCGUCUUAGGUGAGUUCGAUUCUCACAUACUCCCGCCA